AAGCAAAGCUGUGCAGAACACAGCAAUUUUCUUAACAGGACUCAACUUUCUCUCUCCAAAUGUGGAUUGCCCACUCCUGAGGACUGACUCUCCAUUGGCCUGUUUCACAAGUGCCACUCCAUGGUCUUCAGUGGCGCUGCUCCCCAUUUACAUCAGGGCUCAAAUACACCUGGGGGAAAACAGAAUAACCAUGUGCCAACAUCCCUGUACCUUGUGCUAGAAGUACGAUCCAGAUAUGAGAGAUCCUUAGACCAGAGGGUAAACAAGCCCUAAAGAAAAAGGAAAGACAGCUGAAAAGGAAAAU